rnacentral:rRNA from 1 species
UCAGUCGACUCCUACGGGGAGGCAGCAGUGGGGAAUAUUUGCACAAUGGGGGAAACCCUGAUGCAGCCAUGCCGCGUGUGUGAAGAAGGCCUUCGGGUUGUAAAGCACUUUCAGUAGGGAGGAAGGUAGUGUAGUUAACACCUGCACUAUUUGACGUUACCUACAGAAGAAGCACCGGCUAACUCCGUGCCAGCAGCCGCGGUAAUACGGAGGGUGCGAGCGUUAAUCGGAAAUUACUGGGCGUAAAGCGCAUGCAGGCGGCCUGUUAAGUCAGAUGUGAAAGCCCGGGGCUUAACCUCGGAAUUGCAUUUGAAACUGGCAGGCUAGAGUCUUGUAGAGGGGGGUAGGAAUUUCAGGUGUAGCGGUGAAAUGCGUAGAGAUCUGAAGGAAUACCAGUGGCGAAGGCGGCCCCCUGGACAAAGACUGACGCUCAGAUGCGAAAGCGUGGGGAGCAAACAGGAUUAGAUACCCCUGGUAG